rnacentral:lncRNA from 1 species
GAGGAUCUCUUGCUGGAGAUCCCUCCUUGAUGAAGCUUUUCCCCUGUGAACCUGGAAUCUUCUGAUACGGGGGAGAUCUGGUGUAUUUUGGGGUGCGAGGAAUGGUUUUCCCUUCUUGAAGGAGUAAAAGUGGCAGUGGUUAUCGAACUUAUUAUGCUGAAGCUCUACUUCUGAAAGGGGCUGCAUGGCAGUGCAGCGGGCUGUGAAAGUGCAGGUUGAGGAGAAGGUGUUCCAGAACGCUCUGGGCUCAGAUCCUGGGGUCUGCAAUGAGUAGCUGCAGCGCCAUGGCCUUGGAUGGGCCGUAGGCACAAACACUGCAUCCAUGCGGUGGUAGAUGAUGACAGUGGCUCAACGUGUGCUGGUGUCUUGUGGUUGCACAGCUCCCAGACUGUGGGUUUUUUUCUGCGAAGCAGUGUUUUUGCACACAAGGAAGGGGCCAUUUAAGAGUAGGGGAGAGAAUCCUUCUCUCCGUCUCGCCUUCUCACCUUUCCUAUUUCUCUUGUUCAUUAAUUCCUUGUAUUGUACUUCUCUGUACACAGUGAAACAGAACUGACUUUUCCUUUUGUUUCUAGCUGGCUUAUCUCUGCUUCUCAUGAAUUAGCACAAUACUGCAAUAUCUGUACUAUCAGUUCUGUUCUGCUUUCAAAAAAAAAAGAGCAGUAACAGACUUAAAAAAAAAAAUUACAGAAAACUGUCUGAGAGAGCACAUUUUUACUGGAGUGCUCUUCAUCACAGGUAUAGGUUAAGUGGAAAACAGAGAUGAAAAAGUGUUUUAAGUAUUUCUCAAAUCAAAAAUUUAGUUUCUCUAUUUUUAAUUGGUACUUCAGCAAAACUUUGCCAACAGCCUUAGCACCAGAUUUCCAAUUCCUUUUUCCAGUAACACCUUUACCAUGGAGCCUCAUUUAGCUCCAACUGUCGUUAUGGAGCAAUAUGAAUUUCAGACUUCCAGUGUUUGCUUUUAAAACCCAUUGCUGCUAACACAGAUGGCACCCACGUGACAUAAUAAUUUUAUAUACAGUUUAAUAAACAGAGGAC